CCAGUCUUGGCAACGAGGAAGAACUCAUU
rnacentral:sRNA from 1 species